GGAAAGGCACUAUGAUAUAAUCAAUUGUGUUCCGCUCCUACAGAACCAAGUAAAGGCAGAGAGAGUUCAUCUUUGCACUAUCCAAGAUGCACCCAUCAUGUAGGUAAUUUAUGGAGGUAUUUUCAACUAUCAGUCGGUCUUGGUUC